GGGAUUGCCUCAGUAACGGCGAGUGAAGCGGCAACAGCUCAAAUUUGAAAUCUGGCCCCUUCGGGGUCCGAGUUGUAAUUUGUAGAGAGUGCUUCGGGUGAGACUGCGGUCUAAGUCCAUUGGAACAUGGCGUCAUAGAGGGUGAGAAUCCCGUAUGUGACCGUGGCUCGAGCCCAUGUGAAGCCUCUUCGACGAGUCGAGUUGUUUGGGAAUGCAGCUCAAAAUGGGUGGUAUAUUUCAUCUAAAGCUAAAUACUGGCUGGAGACCGAUAGCGCACAAGUAGAGUGAUCGAAAGAUGAAAAGCACUUUGGAAAGAGAGUCAAACAGUACGUGAAAUUGUUGAAAGGGAAGCGCUUGCAACCAGACCCGCCCGUAGGCGAUCAGCCGCUGUUCUCAGUGGUGCACUCGCUCUGCGAUCAGGCCAGCAUCGGUUCUGGCGGCCGGAUAAAGGCCUUGGGAAUGUAGCUCCCUCCGGGGAGUCUUAUAGCCCUCGGUGCAAUGCGGCCAGCCGGGACCGAGGACCGCGCUUCGGCUAGGAUGCUGGCGUAAUGGUUGUAAGCGACCCGUCUUGAAACACGGACCAAGGAGUCUAACAUCUAUGCGAGUGUUUGGGUGUCAAACCCAUGCGCGGAAUGAAAGUGAACGGAGGUGAGAACCCUUAAGGGCGCAUCAUCGACCGAUCCAGAUGUCUUCGGAUGGAUUUGAGUAUGAGCAUAGCUAUUGGGACCCGAAAGAUGAUGAACUAUGCCUGAAUAGGGUGAAGCCAGAGGAAACUCUGGUGGAGGCUCGCAGCGGUUCUGACGUGCAAAUCGAUCGUCAAAUUUGGGUAUAGGGGCGAAAGACUAAUC
rnacentral:rRNA from 1 species